AUUCUGUAACCAGUCUCUAGUCUCUAUUUGAGGCAAAAUCUCAAUUUGUGACUAGUUACUAUUCACUAAACAGUCUCUAGCGUUAGUCUCAAAAUAUUGAGAGCUGGUAAUUAGCAGGCCACAAAACUAAAAAGAACUAUUGUCUGCCAUUUUGAAUAUACUGAAUAGAGAUCAUCAUAGAUAUUCAUCGAUUGUCGUUUCUUUAUAUUUUGUAAGCAACUCAAACACGAAAAGGUUAGAAAUAAAUCAAUUUUUUAUAAAUUUCGUAAAUAUUAUGAAACAAAGUCAACAUAUAUUUUUAUUUUUAUUGACAAUUAUGUUUUUUGACUAUGUUAUAGAAAAUUUAAUAUUUGUUAUCGACAUUUUUAUUAUCAUUCAAGUGUAAAAACAUCUCUGAAUAAUGAAAUGUAAUAGGUUUUGUGACUGUCACUUACAGAAUAGCAAAAUUGUCUCAAGUCUCAAAAAUUGUCUCUAACUUAAAAUCUCAAAUUUGGAGACUUGAGACUGUAUCACAGUACAGAAUCGCACGGUUAGAGAGAGCAUCUUGGACAGUGAUUCAAAUGCCCAAUGCGAUACGAUAAGCAGUCGAUACUUUGUAUUGUUUAUGCAUCACUAACAGUGCUGUUCACCUUUGACUUUUGUUCUCUUUAUGCAAUAGUUGGCAUUACUGUCAAAAAUGCCAAAGUAGGAAAGAGCUAAAUAAAGGAAAUAAUGAUUAUUUGUUCGAUAAAACCGUGUGUUUUGAAGAAACCAGAACCUUUUACUUGAAGUGAUUGAUGGGACGCACAUCCAGUUAAUACAACCAUCACGGAAUGAACAUUUAUUGUUUAAUCGUAAAAUAAAACACCGCAUAAAUGCAAUGGUGAUAUGUGAUCACAAAAUGCAAAUAAGGGCAGUCAAUGGUAAAUUUGGAGGCACGUCGCAUGACUCCCACUUAUGGAACCUCUCAGGAGAACGUGAAUGUUUGAGGACAAACUAACCAAGAUAAAAAUUACGGACAUAUGUACAUGUCUACAUUAUCUGCACAUAUAUAUACAAAAUAUUGAUAUUUUUUUUUCAGCAGCGCUUAUGUAUGUAUAUUAUUUUGUUAUCACAGGAGACUAGGGAUAUGGUGUAUUUAUAGAGAGAUUUCCAGGUCUGUUAUCUGCAAGAGAGCUACAUUACGCGCCUGAAAAAGUCGUUAAAAUAUUGAACGUAUGCUUCGCUAUAUUACACUUGAGUCGGAAGAAUUUUUGGCACAAUUCCGAUUUCUUUGACGCCGCGAUCUGAAGGUACCGUUAGAAAGAGGAAGUUCUCCUGAUUAAAAAAUAUAAUUAUAGGAUCCGCAAACGCUUAGUUUACGGGAUAUUCGACUUCAAAGUUCAAAAAUUCCCAAAAUUCGAAAAUUUCAACAAGCUAUUUCCCCACAUUAAACACACUUUUCAGACAUUUUUUACUUUAAAUUAAUUAAAUUAAACUAUAAACAUUUAAAUACAUCCACAUUUUUCACGUUUUGUAGGUUUUUACGUAAGAAAUCUUUAUUUUAAAAUUUACUUUUUACACUCGUAGUUAUCAUCAUUUAUGUGCUAACAAUUGUAAGGGAAUGGAGCGCUGCCAUAUGAUAAUAAGCAAAUAUGAGCAAUUCGCUGAAUUUCUCUAUUUUGAUAUAAUUCCUCUUUCUUUAUUUAGCAAUCUUAGUUCUAACAAAAACAAGUGUGUCUAUAAAUUAUAUUUAAAAUUAAAAUGAGUAUAAACAAUCUUUCCAUGCA